CACCGGCCUCACCCGGAACUACGUUUCCCAGGAAGCAUCGCGGCAAAAGGACGCGUCCCUUUAGCAACUCGCCGUGACGAACUUCGCACGCCGGUCUCCAGAUAGCUCUGAACUACGCUUUCCAAGGGGUGUCGAGGAUGGCCCGCGGCCUACUAGCCCAAGCAAACAGGGCCUCUCAGCGCGCCAGGCUUGGAACUACAUUUCCCAGAAUGGCUGCAGGGUUCCCCCCCCCUCCCAAAUUGGCUCGCGCGCAGGCAUGCGCAGACGUGCCGACGGGGAGGCCGAGGUGGGGAGGAGGAGUUGUCGUGGCGGCAUCGUCCCGAAACCGGUGGAGGUUGGACGCCGGCGGGUGCUCUGGAAAUGAAAUCCCCGGUCCAUAGGGCAGGCAGGCGAGGAGGAGGGGCCUCGCCAGAGUUCGGCGCCCCUCAGGCCUGUUGGGUGCGUCUCCUUGAGAACGGGUCUGCCUGGGCGGCGCUACCAAAGUCCGAGGCCGGCGCGCAGCGGAUCGCGCCUGGCUGGGGCCUACCUGCGCGCCCUGGUUCGGCUUCCCCGGCGGGAGCCCGGCGCACAGCGUCUGGCCUCGGGGUCCGCUCCUGCGUGAAUCGGGAGAGGGUGCUGCCGGCCACACGUCGUUGGCGUGCCCCCAUCGGACAGGGCCCUGCCUUAGUUUCCGCACCUCGGAAACGGUAGGGCGGGAGGAAACGCGAGGAGAUGGGCCGAAGCUCCCACGAGCCGCGUGGGCCGGGGGCAGCGCUGGACGUCGUCCUACCUCCCAUUGCUUGAACGAACGGUGACUUCCCCCCAGGUUUACCUGCGGUCGGUGGCUGAAUGCGAGCUUCCCGCCGGGCCCACCGGUCUGCCCCUCGCUCCUGUCCUUCGUGAGUGCCAGCUCUCCGGCCUCCUUUCUGCUCCAGGAGCACCGCUGAUCCGUUCCCGCUCACAGCAUCUCCAGAACUCCCUUCCUCUCGCAGAUCUGAAAGUCUGCCCGGUUCUCCCUCCCACCCUCUGCCCCAGCCCCGCGGUACCCCGUAUGGGUGGCAUUAGGCUGUAUGUCUUCUUGGGACGGGCUGACUGCAUGUAGCACAAUGUUCUCUGCGUUCACCUGUGACGUGGUUGCUGUGUGAUGUGGCCUUUCCCCAGUGUCCCUUAUCCGGGGAUCCUGAGGACCUCGUGUGCCGUUUUGUGCCAUGCUACAGACGCCUGCCGAGGUUUGACGUCUCUCCUCCACGCUGGACAUCCUCAAGGAGGAGGGCCGAGGACUAGGGCGGGGGCAUCCUGAGUCGGGGGCAGUGCCCCUCGAGUUCUCCGAGACUGGGUGCCACCCUCCUCUGGCCCCAGAAGUGGGACCAGCCACUCGAGAAACAUCUGAUGUCCUGCGAUAAUACCAGGAAAAACUGCCUGCGGUAAAUACACUGUCAUUGAAAACACGAGUCCUGCAGCAACAGGGAGUGUUUCUCAGAACCUUACACCCACUUGGCAUUUAUGAUGAGCUUUUAUGGCUCUGAGAACAAUUCGCUGCCGGAAGAGGAAAGUGAGCAGGCUCUAGAGCUUGUUCAUACCAACAACCGCUCACCCCUUCUUGUUAAUGUACUCUUCCAGCAGGUUUUACUUGAAAUGGAUGAAACCCAGGGAGUCAGAAUAUGUGUUUCUUAUUAAACAAUAAAGUCAUUGCAUAUAUUUAAAUCAAGUUCAUUAAAAGCUUUUUGGCUUUA